UACAGAGGCCUCGAGCGUUAGGCGGAAUCACUGGGCUUAAAGCGUGUGUAGGCGGACUUCUAAGUGCCUUGUGAAAUCCCACGGCUCACCCGUGGAACUGCUGGGCAUACUGGGAGUCUUGAGCCACCUAGGGGCGAGCGGAACAAAUGGUGGAGCGGUGAAAUGCGUAGAUAUCGGCUGGAACGCCGAAGGUGAAAACAGCUCGCUGGGGCUGCGCUGACGCUGAGACACGAAAGCCAGGGGAGCGAACGGG
rnacentral:rRNA from 1 species